GCAACGUUUGUUUGCUUACCCAACAGGUAGCAUUGAGUGUCUGCUGUAUGCCUGUGAACGAGUGGCCCCUGCCCUGGUGGGGAAGAGGGUCCUUAGCGAGGCGGGAGGGGUCUGGGGAGGCUGGCCAGGGGCCCUGUUGCCUCCCCCACCCCCAGGCGUCCCUUCACACGGUGAUCGCCAGGGGUCUACUGUGCGCCCGUGACCCAGCCUGGCACGGGCGAUCCUCACCGAGCUUCGCCGCCGGCCCCACAGCGGGAGCAAAGUGCAGGUUCUCUGUGGACGCAGCUCCUGCACUGAUACUAAGGGAUAAUCCUAAGCUUCUCGGUGGCUUUUUCAUGGAUCAGCGAUAGCGGGAAAACAUUGGGGCCCCGCUGGCCUCUGGGCGGAACUGGACUGCAUCAUGGGGGACUGUGGCGCACAACGUGGACAGCCGUCCCGGCUCCUGGCCGCUCCACACCCAUAGCACUUCCGGGCAUCGUGACCCCCACACGCCCACGUGUGUCCGCAGCCCCAGAGAACCCCUGCAGAUACGACCACGAACCCGGUUUUCACCCUGGCCUGAAGGUGACCGCUCUUUGGAGUUCAGUGACGAAGUAACUCUCUCUUAAAAUUUUGUUGUGGAAAUUUUCAAAUAUUCACAAAGAACCUUGCUAUUAUUUUUAA